rnacentral:rRNA from 1 species
AGAGUUUGAUCAUGGCUCAGGAUGAACGCUAGCGGCAGGCAUAAUACAUGCAAGACGAACGGUAAUCCCGCCAGCAAUGGCGGGACUAGAGUGUCGUACGGGUGCGUAACACGUAUGCAACCUACCUUGUACAGGAGUAUAGCUCCCCGAAAGGGGAAUUAACCCUCCAUAAGAUCGUAUUCAGGCAUCUGGAAGCGAUAAAAACUGCGGUGGUACAAGAUGGGCAUGCGUUUGAUUAGUUAGUUGGUGAGGGUAAAGGCCCACCAAGACGAUGAUCAAUAGGGGACCUGAGAGGGUGAUCCCCCACACUGGCACUGAGAUACGGGCCAGACUCCUACGGGAGGCAGCAGUAGGGAAUAUUGGACAAUGGGUGAGAGCCUGAUCCAGCCAUGCCGCGUGCAGGAAGAAGGCGUUAUGCGUUGUAAACUGCUUUAGCCAGGGGAUAAAACGGCUCUGCGGAGCUAAUUGAAGGUACCUGGAUAAUAAGCCACGGCUAACUACGUGCCAGCCGCCGCGGUAAUAC